rnacentral:rRNA from 1 species
AAUAUUGGACAAUGGGGGCAACCCUGAUCCAGCCAUGCCGCGUGUGUGAAGAAGGUCUUCGGAUUGUAAAGCACUUUAAGUUGGGAGGAAGGGCUUUAGGUUAAUACCCUGGAGUUUUGACGUUACCAACAGAAUAAGCAACGGCUCACCCUGGGCCAGCCGCCGCGGUAAUACAGCGGGUGCAAGCGUGAACCGGAAGUACUGGUCGUAAAGCGCGCGUAGGUGGUUCAGUAAGAUGGGUGUGAAAGCCCCGGGCUUAACCUGGGAACUGCUUUCAUAACUGCUGAGCUAGAGUACGGUAGAGGGUAGUGGAAUUUCCUGUGUAGCGGUGAAAUGCGUAGAUAUAGGAAGGAACACCAGUGGCGAAGGCGACUACCUGGACUGAUACUGACACUGAGGUGCGAAAGCGUGGGGAGCAAACA